UAGCUCAGUUGGUAGAGCAUGGUGUGUGCAACGUCAGGGUUGUGGGUUCGAUUCCCAC
rnacentral:tRNA from 1 species